AGUAAUACAAACGUGAGUCGCAGGGAACCUUCUCCCUCGGCAAGCCUACUCCCCUCUCGAUUCCAUUUGAUCUGCUCACUCACCGGCGACCGUCGGCGGCCAAGGGACACGAGACCUUUCCAUCCGCUCCUCAAUUCCAAGCGCCUAGUCACUGUCCGCGAGGGUCUCCACCGCGCGCGCACCUCGCCUGCAAGGCGUCCGACCCGCUCUAGCUGCCGCGGCUGCCCGCCGGAGAUUGGUCCAUCCGCAUCCCGAUUACAAACGCCUAGCUGCCGUCAUCGAGGGCUUCCCACCGCUCGCACACCUCGCCCGCGAGGCGACCGACGCCCCGCUCUG
rnacentral:lncRNA from 1 species